rnacentral:lncRNA from 1 species
UUCAUACUGUGCUAGAAUUAAGCAGGGUUGUUUGGGAAGGGGUUAGGAAGAGGCACAUCUAAACUUUACCAGUUUUAAACCAAUGUAUCAUAUUUAUUGUUUACUAUACGAGGGAGAGGUAUCUGGAUCUUACUUGAUACCCUGGAGAGCAGAGACGUGUAUCCUUACUUGUAGGUCCUUAAUUAUUACUGUACCCCUGAUUUAGGGCAGUGAUGGACCUAAGAUAUGGCUCUGAAAGUAGUCAUUGGAUGGAUACAUGAUUUUAAGAAUGAAUGAGUCAAGUAAAGUACAUAGGUCACAUGGCUGAGUUGAUGAAUUAUGCAUGCAUCAGAACAAGGGUAAUGAAGAACAAUUUGACUUUUGCAUAUCAAAAGAACAUGGGUAGCGAGCAGAUGAAGAGGCAUGGUUUUCUAUUUAAAUAUUGUUUUCUCAUUGACUCAACAAAUUGUUCAAAUUGUUUAUAGUAGAUAAGUGAUGUUGCCCAGGGAGUGUGGUUUAGAGGUUGGAAAAGGAAUAUUGUGAAUGAUUAUUGCAGACUUAGCUUGAAGCAAAAUUUACAGUAUUUAGUCUGAUACAUCAUGAAUAUAUAUCACUGGUGUUCUAAAAUGUGUUUUACUGAAGAUCUUGGAAGUAGGCUCUGUAGUUUGUUAAAGGGGAAGAAAGGAUUGUGGAACCAUUGCAAUGUGUCUUUUAUCCUGAAGUGACUCUUUUUUCACAGUAUAGUCAGAAGACCUCCAAUUUGUGUAUGUCUAAAAUUGUGCCCCCUGCCCCCUUUUGCUUUGAAGAACUGAUAUUAAAUCAGUGGUGUCUUAUAGUUGUUAUCUAUAGAAUGAGUAUAAUAGUGCUAUGUCCCUUUUCUUCAUUGUUGAGUUUGGAUUAUUUUCCCCUUUUCUUUCUCCAGUUUUGAGGUUAUUAAUGGUUAUUUGUGUUUUGGGUGCUGAGAAACAUAGUGUACUACAGCUUUGUUGAAGAAAGAUUGAAACUUAGUCCCUGCUGGACACAGCUGACCCACAUUAGGAGUUAAUUAUGUAACAGGGAAGGGAAUAGCAUCUCACCUGGAAGUAGCAGCUCCAUUGUCUUUAAGGAGGGGCUGGAUUCUUCAUGAUUAGGGUAUCUUGAUAAAUUUUAUCAGCAAAGUGGCUUUAAAUCACUCUUACUGUAGCUUUCCUUGUUCUCUGUGAGUCUUACCCUAUGUUCACUGAACUUCAGAGAAUGGUGAUUUAAUUACAUAGAACAACUGAAGACCUCACCAACAUGUUAUUGCCUAAGUAUUGCUUUGAGUCUUUUUACCCAAAGUGGUCCCACUUUUUUUUUUUUAAAUGAAAACCCACAGUAAAGAGACUUCAGAAUCUGAAUAUAUUCUCCUGCUUUUUUUCUUUUACAUUUAAAAAUGUUUUCCUUAGUGCAUUAUAGUUAUACAUAAUAGUGGGGUUCAUUUUGACAUACUUAUAAAUGUAUAUAACAGUUUGCUUCAUUUUAGUCCCCAGUACUUAUCCUUUCCCACCUUUCUUCCCUCCCCCACCUUUUUUUUUAAAGCCCCAUUUUAUUAGCUGGUGCUGCCAUAAUACUGCAUUAUUAAUCAUCAGGACAGAAGCUUACUGCAGUAAGCACUUGUUUUUCUCACUUCUGGGACAGUCAGAUUUGCCUCUAGGCUUCAGAUUGGGCUCAGCUGGACUCUUUCUCAUUAUGGAGACUAUCUUCACAGAGCAAGGUCUACCUGAGUGGACCUUCAUGGUGGGCAAAAGAGGGCCAAGUCAAACACAUUUACAGUUUCUUAUAUUCUGUUGUCUAGAUGGUAUCACAUAGCCAAGCUAAAGUUAGUGCCACUCACUUAUUCCUACACUCAUUUGUAAAUUCA